UACAGCAGCAUUGUCACAUGGUAGUCUGAUCUUUUCAGCUCUCAAAAGCUCAGCAAAGCAGGGCCUGGUCAGUACUUGGAUGAGAGAUCUCCAAGGAAACUGUGGUUCCUGCUGUUA
rnacentral:rRNA from 1 species